rnacentral:sRNA from 1 species
UACCCUAUCGUUCCUCUUGUGUCCAUUAGUG